rnacentral:rRNA from 1 species
CCGAUGGCGACCGGCGCACGGGUGAGUAACGCGUAUGCAACCUACCUUUAACAGGGGCAUAGCACUGAGAAAUUGGUACUAAUUCCCCAUAACAUUCGAGAAGGCAUCUUCUUGGGUUAAAAACUCCGGUGGUUAAAGAUGGGCAUGCGUUGUAUUAGCUAGUUGGUGAGGUAACGGCUCACCAAGGCAACGAUACAUAGGGGGACUGAGAGGUUAACCCCCCACAUUGGUACUGAGACACGGACCAA